rnacentral:rRNA from 1 species
CACGUAGGCGGUUUGUUAAGUCGGAUGUGAAAGCCCCGGGCUCAACCUGGGAACUGCAUUCGAUACUGGCAAACUAGAGUAUAGAAGAGGCAAGUGGAAUUCCGGGUGUAGCGGUGAAAUGCGUAGAUAUCCGGAGGAACAUCAGUGGCGAAGGCGACUUGCUGGUCUAAUACUGACGCUGAGGUGCGAAAGCGUGGGGAGCAAACG